GAAGAAGCGAAUACUAAGUAAAAAUUUGUGCUUGAUUUAUUAUUGCCUAACUGCAAAAUUUAUUAAAAAUAGCAAAAUCUAUAAAGUUUUGCCGGUUUAUUGUAAAAUGUCACCAAUGCUAAAGUGGCGGAUAUGUAUUGACAUUUGUUUUAAUUGCUUGUUCCAAGUGUAGACUCAUCAGCUGUGUGAAUACCACAUCAUCACUGAUAGUAGCAGUUUCAGUCGAUUAUAGUACACUUCAAAUCCAAAAUCUACCUAUUUACCAAUAUAAAUAUUAUAAAGGUUUUGAACAUCACCUUUUAUAGGACUAUCAGUAGCCGCAAAGGUGUUUCGCCGUCGCAAAAGGUCCUGAGGGGAACGUUUACAAAGUUUCUGAUAUCAAUACCCACAAUUUGCCUAAUAGGCAGUGCCAGUGCCAGUGGGAGUUGGGCUUAUUACGAUGGCAGACACUGGAAAUAAUGAAGGGGAAACACCUGCCCAACCGCCGUCACCACCCCAACAGCAGCAACCACAGCCGGCCGUAAAUAAUCCCAAUGCAAACGUGAAUGUGCCGAAUAUUGCAAAUGUUUGGAAUGUUGAUUUAACUGCGAAUCCAUUUAAUUUUAAUAAUAAUCGAAAUCGUGGUGGGCAAAAUAAUUUAAUGAAUGUGCGCGACCGGCUCUUUCAUGCAAUUUACUUCAAGGUUGCUCUUAUGUAUGCUCAAGUAUUUCCCAAGCCUCUUCAACGAGCUCUGGAGUACUUAAUUUUGCUCAAAGCAUUGCUGUUCUUUUUUGCUCUGGUGUAUAUUCACUUAACGUUCAUUAAAAACCCAGCUACAUGUCUACAGAACGUCAAAGAUUGGCCGCGGGAAGGAGUCUUAAGAGUUGAAGUCAUUCCAAAUUUGGAGAAGCACCGUGAUUUGUUGUCAAAAACCAAAGCCAACGAGCAGUUAGUACGUUACCUACAAAAUUACUACCAUUAUGGUAUCGGCCCUCAAACUAAAGUGAAUCAUUAUCGCUUAAAAGAGUAUGAACGCAAACUAACUCGCGCUGGCUACCAAUUGCGACCUACUUUUACUUAUGCAAACGAAACAUUAAUUUACUAUUUUAAAACAGAGGCGAUAUCUGAACAAGCUUUGGCGAAUAGUGCCGAAGAGAAGAUAGAAAAACAUGAAAAUGACGAUGAUGAGCAGUAUAUUGUAGAAUAUUCGUUAGAAUAUGGGCACUUACGUCUUUCAUCAUCAACGCGCAAGCGGUUGAAAAUCCCGGUACGUGUUGUUCAAUUGGACCCGAUGACUGACAAGUGUUUUGGUGAUAAAUUUAGUAAAUUUUUGCUUAAACAGCUUUUAGGAUAUGAUGACUUAUUGAUGGCGUCAGUGCGUGUUAUCGCAGAGAAAGAGGAUAAUAAAGGAUAUCUACGAAAUGUUAUAACUGGCGAGCACUACCGGUUUGUUUCCAUGUGGUGGGCUGCUUGGAGUUCAUAUCUGACUGCAUUUUUUGUAAUGGUGCUUUUUACGUUUUCCAUUUCGAUGCUUUUGCGAUUUUCUCAUCACCAAAUUUUCGUAUUUAUUGUUGAUCUUUUGCAAAUGUUGGAAUUCAAUGUAACUGCGCGUUUUCCUAUCGCUCCAUUGCUCACUGUCAUUUUAGCACUAGUUGGCAUGGAGUCGAUAAUGUCUGAAUUCUUUAACGACACAACAACAGCGUUUUAUAUUAUAUUGAUCGUUUGGGUGGCUGAUCAGUACGAUGCGAUUUGUUGUCAUACAAGUAUUACGAAACGGCAUUGGUUAAGAUUCUUUUAUUUGUACCAUUUUGCUUUCUACGCUUAUCACUACCGCUUUAGUGGACAAAACCGCAGCUUGGCAUUGUUAUCCUCUUGGUUAUUUAUACAGCACUCCAUGUUUUAUUUUUUCCAUCGUUACGAGUUGCCUGUCAUUAUUCAACAAGCGCAAAUACUUAUCAUAACAAACAAUCAGAAUGUGGCAGGGAACGGCCCCCAACAGCAGCAACAAUUGCAGGGCCAGGGACGACCUGCUGCUAUUCUUAUGGGUCGACUAUUUCGGCGCCCGGCUCAGCAGCAACAGCAGCACCAACAGCUUAUUGAUGCUCUUCGAAAUCAGCGACAGAUACCAUUUGUUGGUGGCUUGCUACAGCGGCGUGUCGGAGCUGUGGACACCCUGCGCCGCACGCUGCUCCAACGUGGCUGGAUUGGAGCGCCACGUGUCCGCGUGCAAAUCGCUAAUUUGCAACGCAUCAAUUUGCGUUCUAUUCAAAUAAAUCCCGCAAAUCUGGGCGCAGCCACCGCCGCCGCUGAUUCAACAGGCGAAGCCGCGACAGGUGGUGCUGGGAAUGGCAGCGAUGGGACUGAUGGUAAUGUUACCAUAACACAGGUAUCAAACACAGAUAGUUCAACAAGUGGUGCAACAGAAAGUAGUGCAAAUGGUGGCAGCGGUCAAACCAUUGGCAUAACAAUCUCUUUUAAUGCACCAACCGCAGGUGACGUAGAUGCAGGGUCUACAACUGGAAUGAGCAAUGACGAGCCUACUCCACUAGCAACUACUUCAUUGGACGCGAUGUCAGCAGACGCUACGGCAAAUGCUGCAACUGAAACACAGUCAGCAUCAACAACAAUAACAGGUGCGGGAUGUGUGGAUUCAAAUGAGGGUCAAGUGGACCAAAAUGAUGAAAACUUCAAUGCCCCAGUGGCAUUACCGGAAAACUACAAAAACAUUAGGAAAGAGUCUCUUCCAAGUUCAAUAGAAAGCCAAUCAAAACUAGACACCAAUAAAGAGUCAAUACUUAACGAAGAAAACAAAAAUACAGACGAUUCCCUGUCAUCUGGUAGUUUUGCAAUUGCUAAUGGCUGUGCAACGACAGAAAACUUAGUGGACGAACCAUCGCCAGUGCGUGCCACGAGUGUAAGCACGGAUACGCAGAAUAGUGAAAUUUCGAAAGAACUGGUGGCAACGAAUGAAUUACUUGAAGAGUCACCUCAAACUGUCCAGAGUGCCCAAGAGGUGGUGGCAAUAUUAAACACGGCAAUACCGCAACCUUCGCUUUUGCCAAGAGCAGCUAUUAAUCAGCAGCCUUCAGAAUCGAUAUCGUCUACGACCAUAUUGACAACAGCAACAUCACCAAUCAGCCUUGCCGCCCCCCAAAACACACAGCCAGCAUCAAUGCACGCAAGUCCAAGUGUGGCGAGUGUUGUUCCAAUUUCAUCCUCAUCACCGAUGGCAUCUGCACUAAAUGACAAUUUUGAAGUUAAUGAUGGUAAGGACAGAAGCGGUUCAGCAAAAAUAAAAUUAGUUAAUCAACUAAAUGCGACUAACAAUUCGACAACCGAAACGCAAGCGAUAGUGGCAUCAAGUGAUCCCGAUGGCGAUUAUAAUCCUCAGGAAGCACCAGCAGCAAUGUGCGAUGUGUCUUUAAAAUAAAUGCAAUUUACUUACGGCUAAUGACUGAAAAGUGAGUGGUGGAGUUGUGCUCACGAGAGUAUUAGCCAAGCGACAGAUACGAACCGAGAAACCUAAAAUUUUAGUUCAUUUAUGUAUGUAUAUGUAGCACACUUUUAUCACAACGGCCUUUUAUUCAUUCAAGUUUUACACGACAUCAUAAUCCGAUGAAAAUACUGGAAAAAGACGGGCGAAAAAAACAACUUAAAUGCAUAAAUGAAACACGAUUAACUACAAAGUAAAUAUACGAUAUGUGUAAAGUUAAAAUAAGUAGAAGCCAUAUAUAGUACUUGUGUGUAUAUGAGAUCAUAUGGAAAAAUAUUUCUAAGGAAAAUAAUUAAAAAUUUAUUUUAAUGAGCUAAACUCUUAAAUAGUUAUACAAGUAUUUUAAAAAAGUAAACUCUUUUCUGA